UGCAGUCGAGCGAACAGACAAGGAGCUUGCUCCUUUGACGUUAGCGGCGGACGGGUGAGUAACACGUGGGUAACCUACCUAUAAGACUGGGAUAACUUCGGGAAACCGGAGCUAAUACCGGAUAAUAUUUCGAACCGCAUGGUUCGAUAGUGAAAGAUGGUUUUGCUAUCACUUAUAGAUGGACCCGCGCCGUAUUAGCUAGUUGGUAAGGUAACGGCUUACCAAGGCGACGAUACGUAGCCGACCUGAGAGGGUGAUCGGCCACACUGGAACUGAGACACGGUCCAGACUCCUACGGGAGGCAGCAGUAGGGAAUCUUCCGCAAUGGGCGAAAGCCUGACGGAGCAACGCCGCGUGAGUGAUGAAGGUCUUCGGAUCGUAAAACUCUGUUAUUAGGGAAGAACAUACGUGUAAGUAACUGUGCACGUCUUGACGGUACCUAAUCAGAAAGCCACGGCUAACUACGUGCCAGCAGCCGCGGUAAUACGUAGGUGGCAAGCGUUAUCCGGAAUUAUUGGGCGUAAAGCGCGCGUAGGCGGUUUUUUAAGUCUGAUGUGAAAGCCCACGGCUCAACCGUGGAGGGUCAUUGGAAACUGGAAAACUUGAGUGCAGAAGAGGAAAGUGGAAUUCCAUGUGUAGCGGUGAAAUGCGCAGAGAUAUGGAGGAACACCAGUGGCGAAGGCGACUUUCUGGUCUGUAACUGACGCUGAUGUGCGAAAAGCGUGGGGAUCAAACAGGAUUAGAUACCCUGGUAGUCCCACGCCGUAAACGAUGAGUGCUAAGUGUUAGGGGGUUUCCGCCCCUUAGUGCUGCAGCUAACGCAUUAAGCACUCCGCCUGGGGAGUACGACCGCAAGGUUGAAACUCAAAGGAAUUGACGGGGACCCGCACAAGCGGUGGAGCAUGUGGUUUAAUUCGAAGCAACGCGAAGAACCUUACCAAAUCUUGACAUCCUUUGACAACUCUAGAGAUAGAGCCUUCCCCUUCGGGGGACAAAGUGACAGGUGGUGCAUGGUUGUCGUCAGCUCGUGUCGUGAGAUGUUGGGUUAAGUCCCGCAACGAGCGCAACCCUUAAGCUUAGUUGCCAUCAUUAAGUUGGGCACUCUAAGUUGACUGCCGGUGACAAACCGGAGGAAGGUGGGGAUGACGUCAAAUCAUCAUGCCCCUUAUGAUUUGGGCUACACACGUGCUACAAUGGACAAUACAAAGGGCAGCGAAACCGCGAGGUCAAGCAAAUCCCAUAAAGUUGUUCUCAGUUCGGAUUGUAGUCUGCAACUCGACUACAUGAAGCUGGAAUCGCUAGUAAUCGUAGAUCAGCAUGCUACGGUGAAUACGUUCCCGGGUCUUGUACACACCGCCCGUCACACCACGAGAGUUUGUAACACCCGAAGCCGGUGGAGUAACCAUUUGGAGCUAGCCGUCGAAGGUGGGACAAAUGAUUGGGGUGAA
rnacentral:rRNA from 1 species